rnacentral:rRNA from 1 species
UGCCAGCAVCCGCGGUAAUACGGAGGGUGCAAGCGUUAAUCGGAAUUACUGGGCGUAAAGCGUACGUAGGUGGUUUGUUAAGCCAGCUGUGAAAUCCCCGGGCUCAACCUGGGCACUGCAGUUGGAACUGGCAAGCUAGAGUAGGGUAGAGGGGUGUGGAAUUCCAGGUGUASCGGUGAAAUGCGUAGAUAUCUGGAGGAACAUCAGUGGCGAAGGCGACACCCUGGACUCAUACUGACACUGAGGUACGAAAGCUGUGUGGGAGCAAACAGGAUUAGAUACCCKGGUAGUUCAACC